CUCUUCGCUGUGUACAUCUUAUCUUCUAGACAACUGUAGACCACACCAAACUCCAUCUGGAGGAGGAGAACAAGUAUGGUACCAGCCGGGGUCUGUCCAAGGUUUCUGCCUCUUAAAAGGAAGUUUUUCCUUGCCGCUGUCUCCAAGGUCUUGCUCAUGGUGGUACUGUUGGGUCUCUGUAAAUAAUGUUAUAAGGACUUCGGUCUAGACCUGCUCUAUUUUGAAACAUGUCCUGAGAUAACUUCUGUUCUGAAUUGGUGCUAUACAAAUAAAAGUGAAUUGAAUUGAA